rnacentral:rRNA from 1 species
AUUGAACGCUGGCGGCAGGCCUAACACAUGCAAGUCGAACGGUAGCACAGAGAGCUUGCUCUCGGGUGACGAGUGGCGGACGGGUGAGUAACGUCUGGGAAACUGCCCGAUGGAGGGGGAUAACUACUGGAAACGGUAGCUAAUACCGCAUAACAUCGCAAGACCAAAGUGGGGGACCUUCGGGCCUCACACCAUCGGAUGUGCCCAGAUGGGAUUAGCUAGUAGGUGGGGUAAUGGCUCACCUAGGCGACGAUCCCUAGCUGGUCUGAGAGGAUGAACAGCCACACUGGAACUGAGACACGGUCCAGACUCCUACGGGAGGCAGCAGUGGGGAAUAUUGCACAACGGGCGCAAGCCUGAUGCAGCCAUGCCGCGUGUAUGAAGAAGGCCUUCGGGUUGUAAAGUACUUUCAGCGGGGAGGAAGGCGGUGAAGUUAAUAGCUUCACCGAUUGACGUUACCCGCAGAAGAAGCACCGGCUAACUCCGUGCCAGCCGCCGCCGUAA